rnacentral:rRNA from 2 species
GACGAACCGUCCAAACGUUAUUCGGUAUCACUGGGCUUAAAGGGUGCGUAGGCGGCCGGAUAAGUUGGGUGUGAAAGCCCUCGGCUCAACCGAGGAAUUGCGCCCAAAACUAUCUGGCUUGAGGGAGAUAGAGGUGAGCGGAACUUAGGGUGGAGCGGUGAAAUGCGUUGAUAUCCUAAGGAACACCCGUGGCGAAGGCGGCUCACUGGGUCUUUCCUGACGCUGAGGCACGAAAGCUAGGGGAGCGAACGGG